UGGGGAAUAUUGCACAAUGGGCGCAAGCCUGAUGCAGCCAUGCCGCGUGUGUGAAGAAGGCCUUCGGGUUGUAAAGCACUUUCAGCGAGGAGGAAGGUGGUGAACUUAAUACGUUCAUCAAUUGACGUUACUCGCAGAAGAAGCACCGGCUAACUCCGUGCCAGCAGCCGCGGUAAUACGGAGGGUGCAAGCGUUAAUCGGAAUUACUGGGCGUAAAGCGCACGCAGGCGGUUUGUUAAGUCAGAUGUGAAAUCCCCGGGCUCAACCUGGGAACUGCAUUUGAAACUGGCAAGCUAGAGUCUCGUAGAGGGGGGUAGAAUUCCAGGUGUAGCGGUGAAAUGCGUAGAGAUCUGGAGGAAUACCGGUGGCGAAGGCGGCCCCCUGGACGAAGACUGACGCUCAGGUGCGAAAGCGUGGGGCAGCAAACAGGAUUAGAUACCCUGGUAGUCCAGCGCUGUAAACGAUGUCGAUUUGGAGGUUGUGCCCUUGAGGCGUGGCUUCCGGAGCUAACGCGUUAAAUCGACCGCCUGGGGAGUACGGCCGCAAGGUUAAAACUUAAAUGAAUUGACGGGGUCAUAGCUGUUUCCU
rnacentral:rRNA from 1 species